rnacentral:rRNA from 1 species
CUUUACACAUGACAGGUCGAGCGGUAAGGCCCUUCGGGGUACACGAGCGGCGAACGGGUGAGUAACACGUGAGCAACCUGCCCCUGACUCUGGGAUAAGCGGUGGAAACGCCGUCUAAUACCGGAUACGACCCGCCACCUCAUGGUGGAGGGUGGAAAGUUUUUCGGUCAGGGAUGGGCUCGCGGCCUAUCAGCUUGUUGGUGGGGUAACGGCCUACCAAGGCGAUUACGGGUAGCCGGCCUGAGAGGGCGACCGGCCACACUGGGACUGAGACACGGCCCAGACUCCUGCGGGAGGCAGCAGUGGGGAAUAUUGCGCAAUGGGCGAAAGCCUGACGCAGCGACGCCGCGUGGGGGAUGACGGCCUUCGGGUUGUAAACCUCUUUUACCACCAACGCAGGCUCGAAGUUCUCUUCGGGUUGACGGUAGGUGGGGAAUAAGGACCGGCUAACUACGUGCCAGCAGCCGCGGUAAUACGUAGGGUCCGAGCGUUGUCCGGAAUUAUUGGGCGUAAAGAGCUCGUAGGCGGCGUGUCACGUCUGCUGUGAAAGACCGGGGCUUAACUCCGGUUCUGCAGUGGAUACGGGCAUGCUAGAGGUAGGUAGGGGAGACUGGAAUUCCUGGUGUAGCGGUGAAAUGCGCAGAUAUCAGGAGGAACACCGGUGGCGAAGGCGGGUCUCUGGGCCUUACCUGACGCUGAGGAGCGAAAGCAUGGGGAGCGAACAGGAUUAGAUACCCUGGUAGUCCAUGCCGUAAACGUUGGGCGCUAGGUGUGGGGACUUUCCACGGUUUCCGCGCCGUAGCUAACGCAUUAAGCGCCCCGCCUGGGGAGUACGGCCGCAAGGCUAAAACUCAAAGGAAUUGACGGGGGCCCGCACAAGCGGCGGAGCAUUGUUUGCUUAAUUCGACGCAACGCGAAGAACCUUACCAAGGUUUUGACAUCACCCGUGACUCGCAGAGAUGUGGAGGUCAUUUUAGUUGGCGGGUUGACAGGUGGUGCAUGGCUGUCGUCAGCUCGUUGUUCGUGAGAUUGUUGGGGUUAAGUCCCGCCAACGGAGGCGCCACCCUUUGUUUCCAUUGUUGCCCAGCACGUAUAUGGUGGGGACUCAUUGGGAGACUGCCGGGGCUCAACUUCGGAGAGGUGGGAUGACGUCAAGUCAUCAUGCCUUAUGUCUUGGGCUGCCAAACAUGCCUACAAUGGGCCGGUAC